rnacentral:rRNA from 1 species
CCUACUAUGCCUAACUUAACACACACUAAUCCACCAAUUGUUCGCCAAACAACUACGAGUAAAAACUUAAAACUUAAAAGACUUGACGGUACUUCACACCACCCUAGAGGAGCCUGUCUAAUAACCGAUACUCCACGAUUAACCCCACCCACCCUAGCCCAACAGUCUAUAUACCGCCAUCGCCAGCUUACCUUGUGAAAGAAACAAAGUCAACACAAUAGCCACCACUAACACGAUAGGUCGAGGUGUAACUAAUGAGUGGGAAAAAGAUGGGCUACAUUUUCUAACACAGAAAAUACGAAUAGACUACGAAAAUAGAAACUGAAGGCGGAUUUAGCAGUACGUUAAGAACAAAAUGCUUAACCGAAAUAAAUGUAAUGAAGUGCGUACACACCGCCCGUCAUCCCUGCAGAACUUAAUUUAAUUACAUAAACACACUUAACCCACCAACCAGGGCAAGUC